rfam:Hordeum vulgare subsp. vulgare, WGS project CAJW01000000 data, contig: morex_contig_5793
UUUGUAUUCCCUCCGUCCGGAAUUACUUGUUGCACAAAUGUGUAAAAAUGGAUGUAUCUUGAACUAAAAUACAUCUAGAUACAUCCAUUCCUAUGACAAGUAGGAGUAUUUCCGGACAGAGGGAGUAAUUG